rnacentral:rRNA from 1 species
CCUACGGGCGGCAGCAGUGAGGAAUAUUGGUCAAUGGACGCGAGCCUGAACCAGCCAAGUAGCGUGAAGGAAGACUGUCCUAUGGAUUGUAAACCUCUUUUGUCUGGGAACAAAAUGCUCCACGCGUGGCGUUCCGUGUGUACCCUAUGAACAAGGAUCGGCUAACUCCGUGCCAGCAGCCGCGGUAAUACGGAGGAUGCGAGCGUUAUCCGGAUUUAUUGGGUUUAAGGGGUGCGCAGGCGGAAGUUCAAGUCAGUGGUAAAAUUUUGAGGCACAACCUAAUCGAGCCGUUGAAACUGGUAGUCUUGAGUGAGCUAGAAGUAUGCGGAAUGCGUGGUGUAGCGGUGAAAUGCAUAGAUAUCACGCAGAACUCCGAUUGCGAAGGCAGUACACCGGAGCGCAACUGACGCUGAUGCACGAAAGUGUGGGUAUCGAACAGGAUUAGAUACCCCUGUAGUC